AUACGUAGGGAGCGAGCGUUGUCCGGAAUUACUGGGUGUAAAGGGAGCGUAGGCGGGAGUGCAAGUCCGAUGUGAAAUCCAUGGGCUUAACCCGUGGGCUGCAGUUGAAACUGUAUGUCAUGAGUGAAGUAGAGGUAGGCGGAAUUCCGAGUGUAGCGGUAAAAUGCGUAGAUAUUCGGAGGAACACCGGUGGCGGAGGCGGCCUACUGGGCUUUAACUGACGCUGAGGCUCGAAAGUGUGGGGAGCAAACAGGAUUAGAUACCCUGGUAGUCCACACUGUAAACGAUGAAUACUAGGUGUCGGGUUUCUAUAGAGAUUCGGUGCCGCAGCAAACGCAAUAAGUAUUCCACCUGGGGAGUACGGUCGCAAGAAUGAAACUCAAAUGAAUUGGCGGGG
rnacentral:rRNA from 1 species